rnacentral:rRNA from 1 species
CGUGUAGGUGGCUUGGUAAGCCGCGUGUGAAAUCCCGGGGCUCAACCCCGGAACGGCACGCGGGACUGUCAGGCUAGAGCAUGGUAGAGGCGAGUGGAAUUCCUGGUGUAGCGGUGGAAUGCGUAGAGAUCAGGAAGAACACCGGUGGCGAAGGCGGCUCGCUGGGCUAUUGCUGACACUGAGGCGCGAAAGCGUGGGAGCAAACA